CAUGCAGUCGAACGGUAGCACAGAGGAGCUUGCUCCUUGGGUGACGAGUGGCGGACGGGUGAGUAAUGUCUGGGAAACUGCCCGAUGGAGGGGGAUAACUACUGGAAACGGUAGCUAAUACCGCAUAACGUCGCAAGACCAAAGAGGGGGACCUUCGGGCCUCUUGCCAUCGGAUGUGCCCAGAUGGGAUUAGCUAGUAGGUGGGGUAACGGCUCACCUAGGCGACGAUCCCUAGCUGGUCUGAGAGGAUGACCAGCCACACUGGAACUGAGACACGGUCCAGACUCCUACGGGAGGCAGCAGUGGGGAAUAUUGCACAAUGGGCGCAAGCCUGAUGCAGCCAUGCCGCGUGUAUGAAGAAGGCCUUCGGGUUGUAAAGUACUUUCAGCGAGGAGGAAGGGGAUGUGGUUAAUAACCGCAUUCAUUGACGUUACUCGCAGAAGAAGCACCGGCUAACUCCGUGCCAGCAGCCGCGGUAAUACGGAGGGUGCAAGCGUUAAUCGGAAUUACUGGGCGUAAAGCGCACGCAGGCGGUCUGUCAAGUCGGAUGUGAAAUCCCCGGGCUCAACCUGGGAACUGCAUCCGAAACUGGCAGGCUAGAGUCUUGUAGAGGGGGGUAGAAUUCCAGGUGUAGCGGUGAAAUGCGUAGAGAUCUGGAGGAAUACCGGUGGCGAAGGCGGCCCCCUGGACAAAGACUGACGCUCAGGUGCGAAAGCGU
rnacentral:rRNA from 1 species